AUUGAACGCUGGCGGCAUGCCUUACACAUGCAAGUCGAACGGCAGCACGGGUGCUUGCACCUGGUGGCGAGUGGCGAACGGGUGAGUAAUACAUCGGAACGUACCUUAUCGUGGGGGAUAACGCAGCGAAAGCUGUGCUAAUACCGCAUACGCCCUGAGGGGGAAAGCGGGGGAUCGCAAGACCUCGCGCGAUCAGAGCGGCCGAUGUCUGAUUAGCUUGUUGGUGGGGUAAAAGCCCACCAAGGCGACGAUCAGUAGCUGGUCUGAGAGGACGAUCAGCCACACUGGGACUGAGACACGGCCCAGACUCCUACGGGAGGCAGCAGUGGGGAAUUUUGGACAAUGGGGGCAACCCUGAUCCAGCAAUGCCGCGUGAGUGAAGAAGGCCUUCGGGUUGUAAAGCUCUUUUGUCAGGGAAGAAACACCGGCUCUAACACAGUCCGGGAAUGACGGUACCUGAAGAAUAAGCACCGGCUAACUACGUGCCAGCCGCCGCGGUAA
rnacentral:rRNA from 1 species